ACAAUGGAAAGAAGCAUUAAAAAUAGAGAGAGACAAAAGAAAAUGAAACAUAGAAAUAUGGGUUCACCAUUAAAAUGGUUAAGUUGUUUGGGUGAUGAUAUCAAAGAGAGAAAGAAACAACAUAACUGUUAAUAACAAAUGCUUGUUGGAUAAAUAUAAACCAGAACAUCAAAUUCGUGUAGGAGAUUGGAGUGAGUAGAAGUUAAAAAAUAUUAACCCGAAAAAAUAAAAUUGUACUGAAAAGUAAAACAAAAAUAGAAAAGUGGAGGGAGGGAUAAAACAGGAAUGAAGAGAUGGAGGGAGAAAGGGGUGGUGGUGGAGAGAACAACACUCCAUACACUUAACAAAAAUGGAAAUGGUCCAAAGACCAGUUGAUUUUCCUAUUAGAAUGAUUUAAUGGGUUAGAAAAUGACAGAUGUUAGACAUUGGAAAAGAAUAAAAGGAAACUGGUUCAUAGACACCUUUAGCUAUUCGUUAUGGUAUUCAAUGCAUUUAACGAGUUACAAAAAAUAAUUCG
rnacentral:lncRNA from 1 species